UACGUAGGGUGCGAGCGUUGUCCGGAAUCAUUGGGCGUAAAGCGCGUGUAGGCGGUCCGGUAAGUCCGCUGUGAAAGCCAGGGGCUCAACCCUUGGAUGCCGGUGGAUACUGUCGGGCUUGAGUACGGAAGAGGCGAGUGGAAUUCCUGGUGUAGCGGUGAAAUGCGCAGAUAUCAGGAGGAACACCAAUUGCGAAGGCAGCUCGCUGGGACGUUACUGACGCUGAGACGCGAAAGCGUGGGGAGCAAACAGG
rnacentral:rRNA from 1 species